rnacentral:rRNA from 1 species
UAUCAAUAAGCGGAGGAAAAGAAACUAACAAGGAUUCCCCUAGUAACUGCGAGUGAAGCGGGAAAAGCUCAAAUUUAAAAUCUGGCGGUCUCUGGCCGUCCGAGUUGUAAUCUAGAGAAGUAAUGCCCGUGCUGGACCGUGUAUAAGUCUCCUGGGAUGGAGCGUCAUAGAGGGUGAGAAUCCCGUCUUUGACACGGACUACCAGUGCAUUGUGGUAUGCUCUCAAAGAGUCGAGUUGUUUGGGAAUGCAGCUCAAAAUGGGUGGUAAAUUCCAUCUAAAGCUAAAUAUUGGCGAGAGACCGAUAGCGAACAAGUACCGUGAGGGAAAGAUGAAAAGAACUUUGGAAAGAGAGUUAAACAGUACGUGAAAUUGCUGAAAGGGAAACGCUUGAAGUCAGUCGCGUUGGCCGGGGAUCAGCCUUGCUUUUGCAUGGUGUACUUUCUGGUUGACGGGUCAGCAUCAAUUUUGACCACUGGAAAAAGACCUGGGGAAUGUGGCAGCUUCGGCUGUGUUAUAGCCCUUAGUCGCAUACAGUGGUUGGGAUUGAGGAACUCAGCACGCCGCAAGGCCGGGUUUCGACCACGUUCGUGCUUAGGAUGCUGGCAUAAUGGCUUUAAGCGACCCGUCUUGAAACACGGACCAAGGAGUCUAACAUGCCUGCGAGUAUUUGGGUGGAAAACCCAAGUGCGUAAUGAAAGUGAAAGUUGAGAUCCCUGUCGUGGGGAGCAUCGACGCCCGGACCAGAACUUUUGGGACGGAUCCGCGGUGGAGCAUGUAUGUUGGGACCCGAAAGAUGGUGAACUAUGCCUGAAUAGGGUGAAGCCAGAGGAAACUCUGGUGGAGGCUCGUAGCGAUUCUGACGUGCAAAUCGAUCGUCAAAUUUGGGUAUAGGGGCGAAAGACUAAUCGAACCAUCUAGUAGCUGGUC